GGCCGCGGGAAUUCGAUUCAGGCCUAACACAUGCAAGUCGAACGGCAGCACGGAGCUUGCUCUGGUGGCGAAAAACGAACGGGUGAGUAAUAUAUCGGAACGUACCCUAGAGUGGGGGAUAACGUAGCGAAAGUUGCGCUAAUACCGCAUACGAUCUGCGGAUGAAAGUGGGGGAUCGCAAGACCUCAUGCUCGUGGAGCGGCCGAUAUCUGAUUAGCUAGUUGGUAGGGUAAAAGCCUACCAAGGCAUCGAUCAGUAGCUGGUCUGAGAGGACGACCAGCCACACUGGAACUGAGACACGGUCCAGACUCCUACGGGAGGCAGCAGUGGGGAAUUUUGGACAAUGGG
rnacentral:rRNA from 1 species